GAGGGCAGGUCUCGUGUUAUUACAGUGUCCUACGAGGGAUUGAUGCAGUUUAAGGAUGUGUACCUGCUAUCUCUCUACAAACAAUUGGGGAUCAAUUCAUCAUAUAUACCUACAUUUGAAGAUGGAAAUAAGAAGUACAUCAAGGAUGCAGCACUGGUGAGGGGAGAUAUGGGGUCAAAAUGGCGGGACAGACAAAAGCGCAAGAAGCCAAAAACAUCUCUUUUGCCGAAAAA
rnacentral:rRNA from 16 species